UUUAUGGGUGAAGGCCGCCAGAGCUGGGGCAGAGGUGACCGCAGGGCGGGAAACAGCAGUGCAGAGUGUGGCGUGCGGACGCCGGGUGGGUGGCAGAGCCUGGUGCACGGACCAGGGCGAGCCAGCCCCUGUGAACCUCAGGGGAUGAGCCACGGUCAGCAAAGCAGGCAGCAACCAAACGUUUUCAUUACAAUCACACUUUUAAAAAACCUUCUGUAAUUUCAGUUUGGAUUUCUCCUGUCACCCAAGAGUUGUUUUUAAACUUUCAGGUGGAAGGGCCCUUUACAAUAACAUUGUUGAUACAUUCUCAUGAUCUUUUCAUCGUGGCCAGAGCGCACGGUGUCCAGUUUCUAGCUUACAGGGUUUCCUGGUGUCCUCUUUGUGACCUGUGCCAGUGUUGCCUGUGGGUGGCCAGGUCGGGUUCCCGACUUCGCUGCACGAAAGAAUGUGGAGCGAGUCCACGGUAGGAGCAGGCAGAGGAGUCUACUGCAGAGCGAACGCCCACGCUGACAGACGGCAGCUGCUGGGUGGGGAAGCAGGCCCUGGUGCCUUGAGGGGAAUUCCCUCGUGGGAGCUGGACCUGCGUCUUCGUAAAAUCCAGGAGGAAACAUUUGGAAGAGGUCCGUCUUCAGGGCUGAGCUUCAGACCCUGCUGGAGCAGCGUUGCCUCAGCCAAGGCCGGCAGGAGAGCGCCCUUUGGGAGCUGCAGCAGGAGCCGUCCACACUGGCAAGGAGCCAUCCACACUGGCAAGGCCCUCAGAGGCCACUAGGAGCUGUUCACUGGGCACCACUGGAACUGUGGGCUGGGGGGGCCCCUCUGGGUGUCCUGAGGGCCAGGCCCGUGAGCGCCGUAGGGGCAGGUGGGAAGCAAAGCAAUAGCGUGGGAUUGGGAGGUGGCUGCCUGAAGCGUCCCCUCUCUGAGGAAGCGCUCGGCAGGAGCAGUGCUGGGGGAUGUGGCUGGACUGGAGGCAGCAGGUGGAUUUGGAGCACAGAGCCACGGGGUCCCCAGUGCUGGCUGCUUCACAGGGCGGAUGGGCUGUCUGCGGACUAAAGGAGGCUCUGGGAAGCCACCAAAGGGUUGCAGUCAGCGUGUGACUUGCUCUGUAUUUCAGAAAGGUCCCCGAGGAUCCGGUCUGGGGAGUGGAGUGGACUGGGGCCCCUGGGUGCUGAUGCCGGGUGAGGGUGGGGCUCAGCAGGGCUGCACAGGUGCGUUUCGUAAAAUCAUGAUGGACACAAGAUAGACGCGGAGUCCUGAUCCAGAAGUGUCAGCAGGGACAGCUGGUGCAGCUGAGUGUCCGGAAAGAAGGGAUGUGAGUUAAAUAAGAAAAAAAAAUCGUGCCGGGCACGGUGGCUCACGCCUGUAAUCCCAGCACUUUAGGAGGCUGAGGUGGUGGAUCACGAGGUCAAGAGAUCGAGACCAUCCUGAUCAACAUGGUGAAACCCCGUCUCUACUAAAAAUACAAAAAAUUAGCUGGGCAUGGUGGCACGUGCCUGUAAUCCCAGCUACUCAGGAGGCUGAGGCAGGAGAAUUGCCUGAACCCAGGAGGCGGAGGUUGCGGUGAGCUGAGAUCGCGCCAUUGCACUCCAGCCUGGGUAACAAGAGCGAAACUCCGUCUCAAAAAAAAAGAAAGAAAGAAAGAAAAAAAAAUCAAGACUCUAAUGUUGGUAAAUGCUCCUAAUUAUUUUCUGGAUAUUAAUUAUUACUCCAAAUGUUAAUUAUCUUUGUGACUUUGAUGUGCAGGCCUGGCUGGUGACUCGGAGGUGCCCGGG
rnacentral:lncRNA from 13 species